rnacentral:lncRNA from 1 species
ACUGAAUCCUAGCAACCACAUUCUGAAAAGCUGUCUUACCUUCAUUUUAUAGGGAAACUAAAGCUCAGAGAAGGAACUUUCCUAAAGUCCACAGGAGUAUCACAUCUACACUCAGGUCCCCUGACUUCCAAAUCUGGAUUAUUACAAAGAAAUCCCAGGAUGGAAUUGUGAAGGGAUGUGUCUGCAGCCGGUGAGGAAGCCCAGGCACACAGAAUCCUGCAGACCUCCCCAGCCCCUCCGCAUCCACAGAGAGCACUCAGCUACCGCCGCCGCGUCCUGCCCACUCAGUCACCUCGGCUUCCCACAACCAAGUGCAGAAACAGGCCCGAGCUACAAGAGCUGAAUUAACAAGAACAAGCUGGCAGGUGAGCUAUGUGACAAAAAAGAAGGAGGAGAAGGAAGGGAAACAAAAAAAAAGAGAAAGAAAC